UAAACUGCUUGUAAAAUUGCGCAGCCGUCAACGAAGAAAAUCCAAGCCAGUUUCUCGUUAUCGUUGCUAUAGUUCUCUAAUCCCUUUGGAUCAUAGCAUUUCUUUAACUCAUCGAUCUCUGUCUUCAUGUUGUUGUACAAGGUAUCCUUAUCGACGCCAAUUUUUUUGACGAAAAGUGCUGCUAAUUUGAGCUUGAGCUUCUCGGAUUUAUGGAAGGUGGGAUCAUCGUGGUGGAGUGGGCCGAUUGAGAUCACUUUCGGCUUGAAAUACUUACUGAAAUCUUCGUGACGACCAAGGGUUGAUGGGACUCUUUGUAUCAAUGGUUUGGCACGGAGGUCGAUUUCGUCGCCGUCGAAAGCUUCGUCUAAUGACCGGAGAUUCACUACUUCGCCAACGCUGAGAGGGACGUCCAUAUCAAUGCUCACGGAAUCGUUGUUGUCGGUGAUUGUUUGAUCAGUGGGAGCUGCUCCGACGGCGCCGCCUCCUUCCUCCGUGGAGGACAUUUUCAGGCUGAGCGGUUGGAAGUAAUAAACAAGGUGAUUUUGUAAACUGUUUUUGGCAGAGUGAGUGAUGUUGGAGAAAAGGUAGCAAAGUGGAUAAGAUGAUGACAAAUAUUUUGUAGCUUACAUGAUAAACAUAUAUGGGAAAUACUUAAGGCGUUAGUGUUUAUAUUUUUACUAAUAUAAACAAUGAUAAAAAAGAAAAGUUAAAUAGUGACAAAUACUAAAAUUGAGAAUAAUAUUAUGGAACCUAAAUACUCAACACUACUCAAAACCUUCGCCUUUAACCAAGAAACUAAGACCCUAUCUGAGGGAGAAUUUUAUAUCUACAACACUUCCUAAAUUUCAUUAGCUUAAUAAUAGCUAUUCAAAUAUAUUUUUUCAUUUUAUUACUGACUUUAAUAUUUAAAUUAUCAUUAUAUUGCAUGAUUUAUUCCAAAUAUUUACAUAUAGUAAUUGCAUUUGUAAUUCUACCUAACUAUGAAAAAUCUCAAAUUUGCAACAUGUUAUUCACAUGCCAACCAACCAAUAUAUUAUUCCUACCAACCAAUUUAUCAUUCACAUUCCAACUUUCUAAAUCCAUCAAAUAUUUCAUAUUCAUGUACUAACAAAGAUCAUGCCAAGAACCCACAUGCAAAGUCAUUGUAUAGUACCACAUUUAACUCAAUCGGACUUUUACACAACUAAAGAUUACUCCAAACGUUUAUAUGCAUGUCACAAUCCUUCACUCAAAAUGAUAAAAAAAACUAUUAAAUUGACGAUAAAAUAGUUUAAGCUUCGACCGAUUCAACCGACGUGUUCUAGCAUAUAAUAUGUUUAGUAAGCUCAUAUGGAAACUAAAACUUACCUAGAUCAAUUGAACAUAAAAAAUUACUCAAUAAGCUAUCGAAUUAAUUUUUCCCUGACACUUAUAUACAUAUAGUACAUCUAAUAAAAUUUCUGUUAAAGAAAAGCAAUUUGACUCUUUUUCUAAAAAGUUAAUAACUAAAUUUAGCUCAAAUAAAAAAAAAGAAUAAAAGUCAAUUUGAUAAAAAAUAUAAAUAUUAAAAAUUAAAUUUAUCAUUAUAUCUUUUUUAAGUAAUUAUUUGUGGUGAGCCAUCAUGUCUGACGAUGAUUUUUAAAUACUGUAUUAAUUAUAUAUAGCACAUCAUAUUUCACUAUAAUUUCUAUAGACUUUUUAAACAUGGGGUUAAUUGUUUAUGGCCCAUUGCCCAUGUUGCUUUUAUUAAAUUUUGGGUGAACUUCUCAUUUUGGUCAAAAAAAAAUUGUAUUCUCAGUAUAAAACAAAAAACUAAUCUUUAAUGUUUAUGGCCAAACCCCACCUCUCCUAUCCUAUAAUAAUGGUUCUUGGCUUCUUCUAUCCUACACCUCAAUUAUUUGGAUUAGAUUGAAAAACAAUUGACACUUGAUUUGAUUGUGAAAUAAAGUUAAAUUUUAAAUUUAUAAUAUUUAAUUUGAGUGUGAAUGAAUUUUUGACUUAAUUGAAAAUUUAAAAUUUUAAGUUCGAGUCGUAUUUAAUUAUGUGUGUAUAUCGUGUAUAAAUUUUGUUCAAAUUUAUUUUGAUUUAAUUUUCAUACUAUAUAUUCUUAAUUAAAUUCGGAAUAUAUUUUGAUUAUCAAUUUAACCAUACAUUGUAACGAUGGAUUAAAAUUAUAGUUAAUUAUAUAUUGAAACUAAAUAAUUAGUUUAAGGAAUUAAAAGAUAUUAUUAUAUUUUAUAAAAUUUGAAUAGAUUCAUAAUUAAUUCGAGAUUAAAAAAUGGGAGAAGAAAAGCUAAAACCAAACCUUUUUUACGGUUGGAACUAAACCCCAUGCGGUGUGGAAAAUUGCAAGUUUCCAGAAUAUACCUACACUUACUAAUUAUAAUAAAUAUCUUUUACUUAGUAAUAAUAAAUAAUAAAUAUAUAUUUACUAAUUAAAUAUAAAUAUUACAAAUGUACAUAUAUUUUGUUUACAAUUGUACAAUAUCAUCACCAUCCAUUUGGCAAAUUUGAUUUGUUCAUAUAAUGUUAAUUUAUAACUAAUAUAAAUUACCGUAUAAUAAAAUAAUUAUGUACAUUAUAAUUUAAUAAUAAUUAAACAAUAAAAAUCUUAGAUUUUUUAUCAACAUUUGCCGCCUCAUUUAUGGUGAAUGGUAUAUCUCCCAUUUUGGUCCCCCUUUCUUUUUAUUAAUUCUUUUUCCUAAUUUCUCCUAAUUAAGCUAAAUUCACUUAAUUAAAUCCUAAUUAAACACACAACUAGCCUCACAAAUAUUCUUAAUAAAACAUUUACAAACUCGGUUUACUAAGACAGAAGCCCUAUAACUCACUUUUUCGGUGCCCGUGAAUUUUGGGCCAUUACACAUUCUUCCGUGGAUAACAUUUUUAGGCUGAGCGGUUCGAAGUAAUUACCAAGGUGAUUUUGUAAACUGUUUUUGGCUAAGUGAGUGAUGUUGGUGAAAAGGUGGCAAAAUGGCUACAAUGUUUCUAUAGCUUAUAUAUAAUGAACAUACGGAAAAUAUUUUUGUGUAAUAUCAAAUUUAGCCCUUAAUAUUUAUAAUUUUACCAAUUUGAUUCUUAUUCUUUUUAGUUAAAUUUAAUUCUCUACCUUUUGAAAGUGUCAAAUUUUCUUGGCUGGAAGCUCACUGCAUGGAAGCCAAAAUCAAAACAAACUUUUGAUGGUUUAAUUGUUUUUGAGCCCUUCAAUUUCAGGUGCUAUGAGAAAUGGAUUACAACCUCAUCUUGUCGUUAUCCCAAAAUCAAAACAAGCAACUCUUGGUUGAAAGUUGAAACCAAGGGCCAAGUCAAAAUUGUUUUAGGAUGAGUCCAAAAUGAAUAAUGAAUUUGAAGGUUCAAAAUAAAAUUUUAUUAAUAUAUAAAUUUAUAAUUUCAUAAAUUUUAAAAGGAUUAAAUGAUAAAUUUACUAAUUUAAGAAGACAAUAGGGAUGGUCAAAUAUUCUAAUUGAACCUAUCUGCGAUCGGAUCGGGAUGGAUUUUUUUAAUUAAAAAAAUUAAAUAGAUUGAAUCGAAAUUCUAGGAGUUACAAAAUUCUCAUAAAUAACAAGAGUUUACAAAAAGUACACUUACUUUGGUUGAUGUAUGGUAUAAUAAGCCUGCAAAGCACCGAUAAAAAGUGCACCAAUGGCACCCACAAAUGCGAAAAACGUCCAACGAGUCCUAAAAAAAGUACGGUAAACUUGAGCUGGAUAUGUAAUCCACAUAUUGUUAUGAUGAUCAUGUAUUUGCAGUUUAACAUGUCUGUAAAUCAUCAGACUAGGAACCAAAUCCAUGUUCAUCUUCUUGAUAAGCUUAGCCACUUCUUUAUCACUCCCAAAUCCAUGGUAUAGUAUGCCUGCGUCUCUCAGUUCCUUAACAUCUUCGGCUUCAUCGAUCAAUGAAUCAAGGAAACCCAUAUAUGAAGUGACGGUGAAAUUGUUGUAGAAAUCCGGACAAUUUCGUAAGCUAUUAAGUUCAUGGUUGAAUCAUCGACGGUGAGAGGCGGUAACCGUAAUUUUCCGACGAAGAAGUAAUGGUUGAAACUGAUGUCGGUUAAACAACUUGUUUCGCUUGCUUCUAACCAUAUCCCGGCGUUUUUAAGCUCUUUUACGUUACGAAACGGGUGUGAAUGGUGAGGUUUUAUUCUUGUAUGGUUUCUGCGAUUUGUGAAGGAUAUGCAAAACCUAGAAGGCCAUGGUUUUUCUUUUUUGAAAAGGAGUCUUACUCGUAGUAGAUGCAAUAAGUGAAUUGGCUCUUUAUUUUUUUCUUGCAGCUGCUGCCACCAUUCACUAGAGCAAAAUCUGUGUUAGUCGGGAGCAAGCUAAAAUUAAGGUUUUCAAUGGUUGAAUCAAAUCAUUAUUAUUUAAUAAAAAAUUAUUUAAAUUAUUAAAUUACAUUUUAAUCCUUUUAAAAAUUAUUAAAUUAUAAAUUUGUAUACAAUAAAAUUAUAUUUUGACUCCUCAAAAUGAAUAAAAAAUUGUUUAAACACUUUUAAAAAAUGAUGACAUCAUAAAUUAAUGCAAAAAAAAAAUCUAAGAAUUAAACCAAACUUGUCUAUCGGCCUAAUUAAACAGAGAAUCAAGCAAGGUACUAAUCCAGAAUAAUAAAUUAAAUCCAUUGAAUCUAAUCAUCAAAUCGAUUUUUUUUAUAUUUUUAAUAUAUCUUUAAUAUUUUUAAAAUUUUAUAUAAUUGAAUCGAAUAAACUAAUCAACCAAAAAUGAGACUCUAAUGGAUUGUAUCACCUAUAUAUGUAGUUGUAAAAAUCCUUUUAACAUUUAUAAACUCCACAAAUUGAUUCAUUUAUAAAUUCCUUAAAUUACCUGUCCUGCUGAUGUGAUUGUGGGUCUUUAACAGUGCCGUUGAUGAACCUUAUGAUUGCCUCCAUGAAUUUUGUGCCAUCCUUCGAUCUUGUAAGCAAUUCAAGAACACGAAAAGGUAAUUGGUUUUCCAACAAGAACAGAUCCGAGUACACAAAUGUUAGCAAUUCGUUUUUAAUAGAAAAUUCGUUCGACGUACGACAACGAUCUUGGCCGUAAAGCAUAUAAACUGCUUGUAAAAUUGCGCAGCCGUCAACGAAGAACAUCCAAGCCAGUUUCUCGUUAUCGUUGCUAUAGUUCUCUAAUCCCUUUGGAUCAUAGCAUUUCUUUAAGCCAUCGAUCUCUGUCUUCAUGUUGUUGUACAAGGUAUCCUUAUCGACGCCAAUUUUUUUAACGAAAAGUGCUGCUAAUUUGAGCUUGAGCUUCUCGGAUUUAUGGAGGGUGGCAUCAUCGUGGUAGAAUGGGCCGAUUGAGAUCACUUUCGGCUUGAAAUACUUACUGAAAUCUUCGUGACGACCAAGGGUUGAUGGGACUCUUUGUAUCAAUGGUUUGGCACCGAG
rnacentral:lncRNA from 1 species